UAGUUGGAUGGUACGCUCUAGGGACCC
rnacentral:piRNA from 1 species